GACGAACGCUGGCGGCGUGCUUAACACAUGCAAGUCGUACGAUAAGACCCUUUCGUGGGUACUCGAGUGGCAACCGGGUGAGUAACACGUACGUAACCUGCCCACAACUAUAGGAUAACGAUAGGAAACUGGUGCUAGUGCUGAAAAUGUACUACUUCUUCAUGGUGAGGGUUGAAUAGCUCCGGAGGGUGUUGAUGGAAUCGCGGCCUAUCUGCUUGUUGGUGGGGUAGUGGCGUACCGAGGCGGCGACGGGUAGCCGGACUGAGGGGGUGACCGGCGAUAUUGAGUCUGAGAGACGGCCCAGACACCGACGCGAGGCAGCAGGGGGGAAGAUUGAACAAUGGGCGCAAGCCGGAUGCAGCAACGCUGCGGGCGGGAUGACGGUCUUCGGGGUGUAAACCGAUUGCAGCAGGGACGAUGCUUUUUGUGACGGUACCUGCAGAAGAAGCACCGGCUAACUACGUG
rnacentral:rRNA from 1 species